UACGUAGGUGGCAAGCGUUGUCCGGAUUUAUUGGGGUUAAAGGGUGCGUAGGCGGCCUAUUAAGUCAGUGGUGAAAUAUUUCAGCUCAACUGGAAUUGUGCCAUUGAUACUGAUGGGCUUGAGUACAGAUGAGGUAGGCGGAAUUGACGGUGUAGCGGUGAAAUGCUUAGAUAUCGUCAAGAACACCUAUAGCGAAGGCAGCUUACUAGGCUGUAACUGACGCUGAGGCACGAAAGUGUGGGGAUCAAACAGG
rnacentral:rRNA from 1 species